CCUGGCUCAGAGUGAACGCUGGCGGUAGGCCUAACACAUGCAAGUCGAACGGCAGCACAGGAGAGCUUGCUCUCUGGGUGGCGAGUGGCGGACGGGUGAGGAAUACAUCGGAAUCUACUUUUUCGUGGGGGAUAACGUAGGGAAACUUACGCUAAUACCGCAUACGACCUACGGGUGAAAGCCGGGGACCUUCGGGCCUGGCGCGGAUAAAUGAGCCGAUGUCCGAUUAGCUAGUUGGCGGGGUAAGAGCCCACCAAGGCGACGAUCGGUAGCUGGUCUGAGAGGAUGAUCAGCCACACUGGAACUGAGACACGGUCCAGACUCCUACGGGAGGCAGCAGUGGGGAAUAUUGGACAAUGGGCGCAAGCCUGAUCCAGCCAUACCGCGUGGGUGAAGAAGGCCUUCGGGUUGUAAAGCCCUUUUGUUGGGAAAGAAAAGCAGUCGGUUAAUACCCGAUUGUUCUGACGGUACCCAAAGAAUAAGCACCGGCUAACUUCGUGCCAGCAGCCGCGGUAAU
rnacentral:rRNA from 1 species